rnacentral:SRP_RNA from 1 species
GCUGGGUGUGGUGGCGCAUGCCUGUAAUCCCAGCUACUCAGGAGGCUGAGGCAGGAGAAUCGCUUGACCCCAGGAGGUGGAGGGUGCAGCGAGCCAAGCUGUGCCACUGCACUCCAGCCUGGGUGACAGAGCGAGACUCUGUCUCAA